rnacentral:lncRNA from 1 species
AAGGUAGGAGUAUCUCUCCUGCCCUCUUGUUCUGCUAGAUACUGGCUUCAAGGCAACAUUUCCCCAACCCCCACUUGUAAGCAGAGGCAGAUUUGUGUCUUGCUAUCUGCAUUGGAGUAUUUUCUCUCUGGACAUCGAGGGGACAGGCUGGCACAUUGUUUGGCUUUUCUUUCUCAGUUGUUUCUACACCUGUUCAAAGGAGCGGAGGGAGGGAGAUUGCCUGCCCAGUCAUGUUCGCUGCUUAGCUUGUCUUUUCUUUUUUCCUCCUCUCUCCUAAUUUCUUUUGGUGGCAGGAGAUUUCUAUACUAUGUCUUCUGCUUAUCUUUGAGUGGAGAAGCAGCUGUGUUUGCCUGUCUUCUUUUCACUUGUAUGGGGCACUGCUUAUCCUGUGUCAAUACAGCCUUUAGUCUAUGUGGAAGCCCUGCUUUCUACUUUUAUUCUAUUAGCUUUACUUCUCUGUGUCCUAUUUUCCUCUCCAGAUCUCUCAGGACUGCAGUCCGUUCCCCAGUGUCACAACAUUACCAGAGAAUCUCUGCUCUUAUUUGGUCCUAUAACAAUUUCAUAAUGUGGCCUUCAUCUGAGGCUGUAGGAGCAUCGUUACUAAUUUCACUUUACGAAAUGCCUUUCUCCUUGCUGAAGUUUGCAGUAAGUGAAUGUAAAAUGAAGAGGACAAAAUAGUUAAAGAACAUUUGCCCAUGGUUUCUUAUUUGUAAAGGUGGGAGAAAUAAAGUGUUGCUACACUGGUGAACCGCCUCA